GAUGAACGCUGGCGGCGUGCCUAAUACAUGCAAGUCGAGCGAACAGAUGAGGAGCUUGCUCCUCUGACGUUAGCGGCGGACGGGUGAGUAACACGUGGAUAACCUACCUAUAAGACUGGGAUAACUUCGGGAAACCGGAGCUAAUACCGGAUAAUAUAUUGAACCGCAUGGUUCAAUAGUGAAAGACGGUUUUGCUGUCACUUAUAGAUGGAUCCGCGCCGCAUUAGCUAGUUGGUAAGGUAACGGCUUACCAAGGCAACGAUGCGUAGCCGACCUGAGAGGGGGUGCGCCCACACUGGGACUGAGACACGGGCCCGAGACCCACGGGGGGCGCCGGUGUAGAAACUUCCCCGAUAGGCGAAAACCUGACGCGGCAACGCGGCGCGAGAGUGGUGGGUCUUCGGAUCUUAAAACUCUGUGAUUUUGGAAAAACAAAAGUGUAAAAAACUAUGCACGUCUUGACAGGACCUAAUCAGAGAGCCACGGCUAUAUACGUG
rnacentral:rRNA from 1 species